rnacentral:rRNA from 1 species
UACGUAGGGUGCAGGCGUUAAUCGGAAUUACUGGGCUUAAAGCGUGCGCAGGCGGUUUGCUAAGCCAGGUGUGAAAUCCCCGGGCUUAACCUGGGAACUGCGCUUGUAACUGGCAAGCUAGAGUGUGGCAGAGGGGGGUGGAAUUCCACGUGUAGCAGUGAAAUGCGUAGAGAUGUGGAGGAACACCGAUGGCGAAGGCAGCCCCCUGGGCUAACACUGACGCUCAUGCACGAAAGCGUGGGGAGCAAACAGG